GUUGCUUGUUUUGCAUGGCCUGAGGCCACGAAAUCUUCCAGCCCAGCUGGGGAGCCCCAGUCAGAACAGAUCGCCUUUAAAUGCACAAGCAAAGCCAGGUCAAAUGUUCCAGAACAGACUGAGAAACGUGAAGCCAAAUAUGAUGAAUUGUGGUCAACCUUUCUAUGAAUUGAGAAGAACAAGUGAAUGAUGUGUCAAUACAUCAGAGAGGAUCAAGAUGGAACAUAUCACCUUGGGGUGCUUAUUGAAGUGAGCUGUUUGCAUUGUUUCUGACUCUGGCAGGAAAAAUGAAAUGGGAUUACUUCCUAAAUAAACUCUGCUACGGAAACAAUCACCACAUUUUGACCUUGCAAUUUUCUACAGUAGAAAAGCAAGUGUGGUGGUAGGAGCUGGAGCAGCCACCUGUACCAAUAUACAAAAGGAAUAUGUGGAGAAAGGUGUAUGUGCUUGUACAUGAAAGGGCUGCAUGAAGUAACAGAAGAUGAAGGACCUGCAUUCUUGAUGAUUAUGGGGUGGCCCCAUCAGCUAUAAACCACUCGCUUGGACUUUUUUAUAUAAUGGAAAAAUAAAGUAACUUUGAAG
rnacentral:lncRNA from 12 species